UACGAAGGGGGCUAGCGUUGCUCGGAAUUACUGGGCGUAAAGCGCACGUAGGCGGUCUUUUAAGUCGGGGGUGAAAUCCUGGAGCUCAACUCCAGAAUUGCCUUCGAUACUGGAAGACUUGAGUCCGGGAGAGGUGAGUGGAACUGCGAGUGUAGAGGUGAGAUUCGUAGAUAUUCGCAAGAACACCAGUGGCGAAGGCGGCUCACUGGCCCGGUACUGACGCUGAGGUGCGAAAGCGUGGGGAGCAAACAGG
rnacentral:rRNA from 1 species